UUUCCCUUGGGCAUCCCACUCCCCUGGCCAUCACGUGGGCCAGCCCUCCCUGCCCCUUGUCUGGGCAUCCUCAGCCUUCACCGCCCCCCGCAGAUGCUCGCUGGCUGCAGCCCGGGGAACAGAUGGGCGCAAUGGCUGAGCCUUAGGGAAUGGUAGCCGGGCACACAGCCUCUGUGGAAAUGGCCCAGGAGAGAGCCACUGGAGCAGGCUUCCUGAAAACCUGCCCUGGAUAAAAUCCUAUGGACUUGCUGAACCAAAAGAAAUGAGCAUUUUGAAGCCUUUGAACAUUUUGUCAAAUGACCCUCCAAGAGAAUGUAAACUCUCGCUCAGCGCCAAGCACAGCAUCAUCAGUGCCUGUCAAAGUGCCUCGCAUAUAGUUCAUCCUCGAUAAAUACAUGUUGAAUAGAUGAAUGCACAGGAAAAAGGAAAUAAUUUUAGUAUUGCGCUAACCAAGCAUAAUACUCAAGCUAAAACUAAUGUAAAACUUACCACCAGCUGCCUUCCGGAAACAAGUGAAAAAAGACAAGAGACACCACAAACAAUGGUGAGUCAAGACUGGUCAGUAACUACAGAUCCCAAAGCUCCAGCUGAAGAUGGCUCUCCUACAUCAGACUGAUCUAGGAGAACCCAACCUAGUAUCAGCACCCCUUCACACCUAGUAUCAGCACCCCUUCACACCUAGUAUCAGCACCCCUUCACAUCUAGUGUCAGCACCUCUUCACACCAAAUAUCAGCACCCCCUGUCUCAUGGGAGGGCAGAGGUAAUGCUUGUACCAGUUCCCCAUGCCUGAGCCUUACCAGGGAGCCAGCACUGUAGCUGGUGUAUCACAUGCGUUAGCAUGCACAGGCCUCACAACUCUGCAGUAUCAUCAUUCCCACUCUUACAGAUAAUGAAACUGAGGUUCAGAGAGCUAUGGAUUAAGCUCAGCUCAAAGGAGUUGAGCAGAGGGAGCUUUGAAUUGUGUCAGUAUUCCAGCACAUAUCUAUCUGACUCUAUAUACAUGCUUUCUGUACAAUUGCCCAGGGACCCCACAGCACUGCCAGUUGGAGAACAGGGGAGCCCAGAUGCUGGUCCCUGACCACUUCCACCGUCUUGUGCUGAUUCUGGAUGCAGGAUGCAAAGAACCAUUUCCCUCAGCAUCUGAGGAGGAGGAAAUCCUUUCUAUCAUGGAAAGCAGCUUGGGUUCUCAUGACAAAUUCAAUGUCAGAGAGCUGAACCAACAUCAUAGAGUGCUCUUCAAGGAAAGCCUCCCUCCUGGGCCCUCCACUGCCUAGGUCACCAGGCCUCCAGACUCCAGGCCUCCAGAUCCCAGGCCAAAAGGCUGCUUGUAUUUCCUUACUCUCCCAGGGCCUCUCCUGAUACCUGGCCUCUGAAAUUCUUUCCACAUAUAAGGGUGCACUCAGUGUUCGUGAAAGCAAGUGUUUCCAGGGUUUCAGAUGCUCCACAGAGAAACUUUCAUAGUCAUUCAAAAAGAUUAGCUUUUCUCUCUAAUUCACAUCAUCACCAAGGAAUAAAGCCUCACAGGUUACGGGCUGGAGCUUCUUCCUCUGAGGGUCUAACAGGAAAAGCUGGACAAGGAUAUAUUUGUUCUUUUCUACUUACAGCCCGAAAGAGUGGCACAGUCCCCAAAAAUACUUCAUUCUGUAGUUUUUUUAAAUAAAUGGACAAAAAAAUAAAACACUUGGUUUCUAGAUGGCCAGGUAAAAUAAGAAAAGAGCAUUUCCAGGGUUGAGUUGGCAGCCCUAUCUGUUGGUCUCUCCACUUCAGUGAGGUCCUCUGAAUGGUAAAUGAAUGAAGGCAGAAGAGGGGAGAAGAGCUUUUUCUGACCUCACACUAAAAAGUAACAGGAGUCAAGAAGGAAACAGGCAGAAGCCUGAAGGGAUAGGAACAAUGUGAAAAGUAAAGUAGGUCUGUGAGCUCCUUCCCCAAAUCCCUGCAUGGCCAGUUAGCCCAGAAAUGCACCAGGGCAGAGCUCCACAAAGGGAGAGAAGCGUCCAGCAGCCAUGGCGCUUAUGACCAUCAUAAAAGGGACAGCAGUUCUGGAGAUGGAACUCUACCUGGCUGAUUUUUAGAUCAUAUAGUCAGAUACAUAUUUGUUGAUCUAACUCAGCAUUGGUUCAUACUCAACCCUUCCCUUCCACAUGUCAAGCACACAAAUACACAUCCCAGAUUUACAAACUGACAGUUUCCCAUUCCUGUGCCGAAUGCCUUGGCUUAACUUGAAAGGCAUUUCAGAGGCUGAACUACUGAGACAGAUUCAACGCAUACAGUGACACUCAGGCUGCUAGAUACUGACUAGUCAACCGUUGGCCAGCAGCUGCCAGAUGCUUAAAAACCACACUGAAAUGAUCAGACCCCUACGUGCAACCUGCAACUGAUCUGAGAACCUCCCUGUUUUGUAUUUUCUGUUGUUCUAACAAAAAAAGGAUCUUCUUAAAUCUAUUUCACGUAUUACAGUAGCCCGGACAUCAAAUGUUUCCCAGAGUGAAAUUAAAUAUAGCAUUUUAUUUGGAACAAGCCAUCCUAACUCAAUUUCCCUCCCCAGCAUUGCCACAGAGAGACCUUCCAUUUGGCAGCUGAAAGAUGCGCUGAGCUCUAGGCUGGACGUAGGACUUCUUUCCACGCUCUUGGUAAUGCAUCUGCUUCCUCUGCCCCAGUACAAGCACUACAGGAAUAAAAAAGGGAGUUUUGCCCCUCUGCCCCUAUGCACUGCCUUUAGGGAAAAAUAUCCCUGUCUUUCCAGCACACCCUAUCCAAACUCCUGCAGAAUAUGGUGCUGCACCAGCAGAAAUUUUCUUCCUGAAGAAAAGUCAAUGAGUUUGCCAUAAAGCAGGUUUCUCUCUUUGGAGGGAGCCGGUCAUAUCUGGGAUAUUGUUGCAUGUUGUUGAUGAUUAACCUGCAGGAGACGCGUUGUCAAUAAACAUUUACUGGACAUCCACUGAGGGCCCUGCAUCUCAGGGAGUGAGAGGCUACGGAGAGGCAAAGGAUGCUAGAGUAGGGACGUGGGAGGAGCCCAGAGACCCCAAAACCCAAUGUGUUCACUUUGUAAAUGUAGUAACAGAGACCGAGAAAGAAUCUGGUGUUGCCAAGGUCACAGCACCAUGUGGCAGCCCUGGCGACUUCCUGAAUCUCAGAUCAGGGCUUCUCCGAAGCUCUCUCCUAAGUUAGACGGGUAGAAGUGGAGACUGAAUAUCUAUCUCAAGUACGUAAAAGUGUCCGUGGAAGUCUCCGGUGACUCUGCAGUUACAGCUCCCAUUUCCCGACGGCCUGAGCAGGGACCUGGCACCUAAGUUAUCUUUAACUUCCCAAACAAGUCUGAAAUAAGGACACUUAGGCUCAGAAUGAGGCCCAAGGUCACACCGAUCGUGAACAUGACAGGUGCAAAUUUGAACCCAGUAGUGUCUGAUUCCAAAGCUGAAUAUACGGAUAUGUUAGGAUGCCCACCUACUAUGUCACCUCACUUACUCCACCCUUGAGAUGGAACCAUCUCUGUCAAGAAAUAAGGAUUAAACCAAAUCAAGUACAAAUGAAAACCCAGACUGCAAGCCAUCAUAGAAAGUAAGAUUCAAUGUGUGUAUGUAUUUGCAUGAUUAAGCACAUGCAGAGAAAGAAUACAUCUAGAUAUCAAGUGGUAAUUUUGAAAUUUUCUCCUUUAUACAUUUCUGUUUUUCUCAAAUAUUAAAAUAGAUGAUUCUUAUUAAUCUGAAAUUAAUUUUUUAGGUUGUGGUAAAAUAUAUACAUGUAACAUAAAUUUUACAAUCUUAACCAUUUUUAAGUGUACAAUUUAGUAGCAUUAAAAACAUUUACAUUGUUGUUUAACCAUCACCUCCAUCCAUCUCCAGAACACUUUGCUAUUCCUGAAAAUCUGAAAUCCUGAACCCAUUAAACAACAGCUCCGCACUUCCCCCUGCACCAGCCCCUGGCAACCACCAUUCUACUUCUGUCUCUAUAAAUUUGUCUAUUCUGGGUACCUCACAUAAGUGGAAUCAUACCAUAUUUCUCCUUUUGUGUCUGGCUUAUUUUAUUUAGCAUAAUGUUCUCAAGGUUCAUCCAUGUUGUAGCAUGUAUCAGGAUCUCCUUCCUUUUUAAGGCCGAAUGAUAUUCCACUGUAUGUAUAUACCACAUCCUGUUUAUCCAUUUAUCCACGAAUGAAUACUUGGAUUGCAUCUGCUUUUUGGCCAUUACAAAUAAUGUUGAUAUGAACAUGGGCAAACAAAUAUUUCCAAAAGCCCCUAGACUUUUUAAAUCCUGGAGUAUACUUUUAGAAUGUGCCGCUGUGAAUUAAAAUCAGGAUAUGCUUUCUAUUGGUCUCAGCCUGGAAAACAGCAAAUUCUGUGCUGGAGUCUACACAUUUUGCCUUCUGUCUUUAAACACCUCUAAACCAGUGGUUCUCAACCCUGGCUGCCUAUUAGAAUCACCUGGGGGUGCUUUCAAAAAAUACUGAUGUCCCAGCCCUAUGAAGGCCACUGAAUCAGAACUCCUCUGAGUUGAGGCAGAGGAAUUGAGUAUUUUUAAAAGGCUGCCCAGAUUAUUCUACUGUACAGACAAGAGUAAGAAUCAGUGUCCUGAAGCCUCUUCUUCUGGGGGGCCCUUCUCUUUAUUUAAGAAAACUCUGCCUUAUGAGUAAUUCCUCUUCUUUCCUCCCAUCAAAACCCAGGAGGGUUUGAUAACCAGUCAAUUGCCCUAGUUGUUUGACUGAUUGCAUUCCAACUGAAACAUUCGCUCCACGGCCUUACCUCCUCCAGUUGAAGCCUUUUAUCUCUAAUUGUGGACUGCGUGCCUGCUUCUUUCUUGGAAGGAAUGUUGAUAUGAGUAAGCAGUUAGGGAAGUAUUUCUAGGCCUACUCAGUCCUUCAGGUAAUUAUAAUCUAGUCCUUUCAAGGCAGUAGGGACAAUAAGAGGGGCCAGAAGAUGUGGUCCCAGUCCAUAUCCAGUGCCCGACUGAGGCACUGAGCCAGCUCAAGAGGCCCCUCCCCAUCCUCACAUUUCAUCCCUAAGCCCUGGCCUCCCCUCGCUCUUGCCCAAGACUCCCAGCUAGUUAAUUGGCGUGCCCCAGGGACCUCUGGUGGUUUUGCCCAGUUCUGUCUUUGCUAAUUUUCUUUUGUGAUGGGGUUCCUUCCUCUAACACCCUAGGACACAUCUCUGCUGAGUGUGCUUUCUCUCUGGUUCUUGUGUUCUUGACAACAGAGCAUGUCAACUGAUGGGCGGCAUGGUGACUUCGAGAACAGGAUGAGUUCCCAGCAUCUUUGUCAGAAAUUUCACAACCACGGCUGAUGUCACACUGGUGGCAGCAGGGCGUGUUCUAGGACACAGAUUCGCCAUCAGCUGCUCCCCAGGCAGGCAGGCCUGGGGCUCCAGGGCCCUUCAACUCACCUUGGGGCUCUUCUGCCUCUUUGCAAAGAGCCCUCCAAACAGGGUACUGGAAGCUGAAGCCAUGGCAGCAGCUCCAAGGACUGGCCUGUUUGGGAGAGAACAUGGUCCUUCCCUCUGCCAGGCCUACCCUGGAGCCUGUCCCUGAAGGGCUGGGACAUCCUGAUCCUCCACAGGGGACUGGCUGCAGUGCCCCUUUAUGUCCAUGUGCAAUGCUGAUGUAAAAGUGUUAACGGUGUGGGGGACAGGGACUGUGGUAGGAGCUCUGAGGAAAGACAGAGCAUGAGCUGGAGGAAUCAGGCCCCGAGGAAGGAGAGGAACCAAGCCUAGGAGGAGGGAGAGCGCAUCCCACCCAGAGGAACAGGCCCCACUCAGAACCCUUUUGCCCUCACAGGCAUGCUGGGCCCUGCAAGCUGGCAAGCCAUCAGGGUAACAGAGCCCUCAGCACCACCACCUGAUCCACUGACCAGGAUCCAUCCUAGCAAGUGGGCAAGCUCGCAGAAAGGGAAUGAUGAGGAAGUGCAAAGGACAAGGAAAAUGAAGACUGAAGCCCCACUGAAUGCAACAGAACACCCACAAAUAGCAGAUUAAAUCCAAGCAAAGGGACUCAGAUUGACAUGUCUCUGAUGUCUCAGUGACCAGGGAACCCCAGAUAUGCCGGCAAACAUGGCUUCGUUUCCCCAUCUCAUGCAGCACACGUUUGCUGAGCCCUCCGACACACCCGCUGCAAUGCAGGUCCUCACUGCCUCCGGCUCCUCCCGACUUCACACCCAUGAGGUGCUCCAGUCCAAACCCAGAGAGAGCCCCUGUGCCUCGCUGGGGGAAAGGGGACGUGGGGAGAAGACACUGAACACUCCUCUUCUCUCUUCUUGAGUACCUCUUUUGGCGGGGAUGAGACAUGGCUGCACAUUUUCUAGAUAAAGAAGCAGAAGCAUAGACUAGAAGGGAUGGGGUCAAAGGAACCUCACAUGUCCAUCAACCAUGUGCGCUAACUAGAAGUGUCUGCCUGUGAAUGAGUGCUGGGCCUACAGGGAAGACAGGAAGGGGGCUGGCGGUGACACCUCUUAUCCAAGGAGUGCAAGGUCCUCAGGCACACUCCUGGGGUCCCGGGCCCACCUCCCCGGAGCAGGGAGAAGUCACUGAGGGCAUACAGGGCCAUCCCCUUCAGGCUCACCUUGCAAUGUGCAGUGUGGUGACUCAGGGCACGCCUAGGCUUCAUGUUGCUUCCAGCGACCUUGGCAGUUGCUCAACCUCUCCAUGCUUCAGUUUCCUUCUUUGUAAUUCAAGAAUAAUAGUCCUAGUUCACGAGAUCAGUGUGAAGACUGAAUAAUGACCACACGUAGUAAGAACUAAGAUUUAUUGAACCAUGAUUUUAUUAUAAGCCCCGGACACAUAUGUAUCUGGUUGGAGUCCUGCAAUGACACUCUGAGGUAGGUACUAUUACUAUCCUUAUUUACAAGUGAGAAGUGGAGUCACAGAGGGGUCGAGCAAGUUACCCACAUCAUAGAAAUGGUGAGCAGGAGCCCAGAGCACUUCACAUGAACCCCUCCUCAGCAGCGCCAACUUAAGGACCAUCCAAUUUCAGAUAUGCGCUGCUUUAGAGAUGGACAAACUGAGGCACAAGGAGGCUGGAGCAGACUCUGCCUGCUCUUCCUCACAAUUAUUGUAAUGCUGCAAAGGCACCCUUGAGGGACAGAUGUCAGAGAAGCAAGACAAGAAGCUAUGGUGGUGUUACUGACUCUCAGCCUAAGAGCUGAAGGUGCAGGUCUUCCCUCCCCAAUGUGAGCGCCAGUUCCAGCCACAAAUCUCCUCUCCCAAACUCGCGAUUCAGCCCUGCUGAUCAACUGCAGAGAAGGUGCUGUAAAAACCGGCUCAAAUCUUGAGGUGCCCUAGACAUGAGAAAAUGGGCUACAGCUACCGCUUAAAAAUGUGGACGGAUGGACUGCGGGAGGAGGGGCAGUGCGAGAGCAGCAGCCCAUCCGUGAAGAGAGGAGAAGCUGGGAAUGUGUAAGCAGAGCCAUAAAUCCCUUGUCAACGCUGCCUCCGUGCCUUCCCUCUGUGGACGGGGCCCGGGGCCUGGGAGGCCUGCAGAGGGGAAGGAAGCCUAGCGUUUAGCCUCUGAUGGCCAGAAAGAUAGCUCCACACGGUGUCUGUCAGAGCACCAGGAGAGCAGACACACUGAGAGUUUCACUCAUUAACAUCGGUGUUGCCAUGACAAUAAGCUGUUGCCAGGUAGCAGCGAACUAGGAGAAGAGUGAGAAUUAGCAAAGCCUAAAAAUAAAGCUGUUAUGUUUCUUCCCCCGUCUAGAUGUCCAUGUGUAACAGGCAAUAAUCUCGCCGCCUCCUCCUCACCCCAGCCCUGGAAGACCACAUGGGACAGACAGGGCCCUGCACAGAAGGGGAAGGUCACCUCUCCAAGGGAGGCAGAGAAAAUAGUACCCGAAGAUAGUGGUGGCCAAAAUCUGAAGGCCAGCAACAAGCAGCACCAGAGAAAGCUCAAAGUAAAAAAAUCCCUGGGAGGGAUUUUUCCUUCCCUUAGGAAGUAGCUGACCUGAAGCGUUAACCUCAGUUCCAGAUUGGAGCAGGGCCCUUCCAGGCUGUCAGAUGCCCGUCCAGCUCCUUGGCUCUGAAAGAAUGGGAAAUGGCAGGCGCUGGCUCCUGACUGACUUUUCUCCUGGAAAAUAUUUAGCCGGGCCCCAGCCCCAGAGGCAUCUGUGGGAGUCAGGAGCCUAGACUGGGCACAUGGGCAGUUCCUGGUUGCUUUUAUAAGCAUGCUACCGCCAGAGGAGCCACUGUGAUAACAAUUCCAAACAAGAGGAUAUUUUAACAAUCAACAUCACUGAGCAAUGUGUUAAUAUCUCCAAGGGACAUGCAAUAGAAUUAUUUUCAGGAUCUUCCAGUUUGGCUCUGAUGUCAGAGGAGAAAAUGCAUGGUGUCCAGUUCUGUGCUUCCUUUGUCCAUCCCUCCCACCAGACUGUAAGCUCCAUGAAGGCAGAAACCAUGUCUAACUAGUCACCCUCAUGACCGCAGCACCUGCUGUCACACCAGACACUUAGUCAGUGUGCAAUAAAUACACAGAGGAAAGAGGAAGUGGGGAAGGGGCAACUGACUCAAUCAUAACAGAGUCAACAUUCUAGAUAAAACAGUAAAUAUAUUAACAGUAAAAAUACCUGGCCUAAAUAAAAUACAUACCUUUCUAAAAUUAUAAGCUCUGCAUUCUAAGGACUGAAUCCUAUUCCUGAUCUAACUCUCUAUUCUCAAAAAAUAAGUUAGCAAGUAUGCAGGUGUCAUGCUUUAAGCAGAUCAGAUUAGUUGAAAUCCAGAAUUUUGGGGCAAUGAUUUCCUUUAUAAGCAACCGUAAGAUUUCCUCAAACACAGAACCUGCAUGAUCUCUCUAAAGUAAAAUUGUUUAAUUCAGAUAAUAUGUAAUAAUCUGGAUCUAUACAUUGAAUGAAGCUAGCGGCAACCACUGGAUUCCCGGUUUCUUUCCUUGCAACCACACUUACCUUUGAGUUCUCUCUACCACAGGCUGAUGAGUGCUCAGGAAAUGUAAACAGUGGCUAAUUUUGCUAUCAGUGCAAGAAACACACAUUUAGGAAACAAAAUUCAUUCUUUGUUUCACCAUCACCCCAUAAAAACAUAUAACCUGGAACAAAAUAUUAAUAAUUUCUUGGUUCUUUAACUGCUCUGGAUUACCCAGCCAUUGAUCCAAAUACCAGCUCCUGCCUCUAGGCCUCCAAGCUUGUGUAAAUAACGUAAAGGUAGCAGAAAGAGGCCGGGCGCGGUGGCUCAUGCCUAUAAUCCCAGCACGUUGGGAGGCUGAGGC
rnacentral:lncRNA from 1 species